AUUGAACGCUGGCGGCAUGCCUUACACAUGCAAGUCGAACGGCAGCACGGGAGCAAUCCUGGUGGCGAGUGGCGAACGGGUGAGUAAUAUAUCGGAACGUGCCCAGUCGUGGGGAUAACGUAGCGAAAGCUACGCUAAUACCGCAUACGAUCUAUGGAUGAAAGCGGGGGAUCGCAAGACCUCGCGCGAUUGGAGCGGCCGAUAUCAGAUUAGGUAGUUGGUGAGGUAAAGGCUCACCAAGCCGACGAUCUGUAGCUGGUCUGAGAGGACGACCAGCCACACUGGGACUGAGACACGGCCCAGACUCCUACGGGAGGCAGCAGUGGGGAAUUUUGAACAAUGGGCGAAAGCCUGAUCCAGCCAUGCCGCGUGUGUGAAGAAGGUCUUCGGAUUGUAAACUGCU
rnacentral:rRNA from 1 species